UUCUUCCUCAGCAGGUAUACAUCAGUAUUAUUUGAUAGAAUUCAAACAAAGUAUAAUUGUCUUAGUCACCUAAUCAUAGACUUUGAGGUUGGAAGAGAUCAUUAUCCUCCUGCAAGUUGCAGCACCUCAGCUGUAAGUCUCAGCAGCCAGUCUGUAAUGCCUCUUAGAAGUGCAAUAUCCCAAGAAGGACCUUUAGACACAUGAGUACAGAGUGGAAGAUUCAUCACCUCAUCAAAGAUGUGGGUAAUUAUUCACUGGGUGGUUUGGGCUUUUUUUAAGGGCUUUAUUUGCAGUUAAAUCUUACAUACCAAUUUUUCAAGAGAAUAAUAUCCCAUACUGUCCUUUGUUAUGCCCUUUCUUCUUAUACUAAAAAGCCAGUCAUAAUCAAAAUCAUCUUUUACAAUAGUCUUUACUUGUCUUUUGAAUAAGACAGGCAGCUUGCUCAUUCCUAGCUUUUCACAAUAAGCUCUGCCUUUCAGGCCUCAUGUUUAUUGCAGGACUUUAUGACUAUGUGGUUUAUCAGAUAGUCUACUCUGAAAUGUGGGUAUGAGAGUUGCACACAGCAUUCCUGUCGUGGUUUUACAUUUGCUAUAAACAGAGCUAAUAAUCACCUUCCUACUCUCACUUCAUAUUUUCCGUGCUUAGGCUUCAGGGCUGACAUUCACUCUGUAAUUGCAUCAUCCCACUGCAAACUCAUGUUCAGUUAAUUAUCUAACAAGACCCUGGCUUCUUUUCAUGUUCUGUCAUUUUGAAAUACUUAGUCCAAUCCUGUCUAUAUAAACUACGCUCUUUCUUCCUUAGAUAUAUGAGUGCAAAUUUAUCUGUAUUAAAAUUAUAUUAAAAUCAGCCCACCCUACUAAAUUAUUAAUUCUCUACAGUUAUCAUCUGUCCAAUUUAGAACUUCAGCAGUUUCCAUGAUUUCCAAAACCUGUAUUGUCAUUUUACUUUGUAUUUCAAUUUGUACAUAAAGAUAAUAAGUUAUGAUUUGUCAAGAGCAGAGCCCUGUACAAUCCUGGUAGGACCUUCCAUGAAGUUUUCCUGUUUACAGCUACUCCUGACAUGGGUAUAUUUGUAUUUCAGUUAAUAUGGAUAUAAGCAUACAAAGUCGUGUGUAUAUAAUAUUACAGGAAAUACAUGCUGAGUUACAUGGCUUCUUCAUCAGUGUAGGUCUCCAAGGAUGGAUUAGAUUCCUUUCUGCUGAAAAUUACAUAUGUAGAGAUUAUCUUCCCCAGAAAAAUGACUUAGACUAGGGUGAGCUUAGUGUGCCUUUCAUAUAAUUCAGUGCUGCAGUCUUUGUAUGUUGUCCAGCUGCCAUUACUUAAGGGAAAAGGUAUAAAAUUUAAUUGUUAAACUCAUUCUAUGUCUCCUGUCUCAGCAUAUAUACCUAUUAACCUUCAUCUGGAGAUCUGCUUGGUGAAUGCCCAGGUUCCCAUGACAGAAGUGGGAUAGUGUAGCCUCAGAAAGAAUUGUUUUUAGCAAAGUACUUGUGGCGUUACUCUUCCUUAAAAGAACUCAUUUUUUAUUGUUGUCAUUAACUAACUACAGUGUUUCUCAGCAUGCACUUUUUCUUGAUAACUGAAUAAUGUCACACAAAUUAAAUGCUACCACUAAGUUUGGCAAUGCAAGAGCUCCAGAUGCACUGUCAUGGGAGAAAUGUAAUUCUGGUAAUAAUAAUAGUAGCAGAAAAUAGAAUCUGUCAUGAAAGAUAAAUUAACUAAAGCCAAGGCCAUGUGACCUUGCCUUUAUACACUAAACUGCAUUUACUAUUCUUUGUUCAGUUGCAGCCUUAAACAAAUGCUGAUAAAUAGCAAUGAGACAGCACACUGAAUAAUCAUGUCUUUAGAAAAAAAUUAAUAAAUGAAAUAAUGUUUCACCUUUGUGAGUGCAUUUACUUGUUUUUCCAGCAAUUUUUGUUAAAUUAGAUUAUACAAUUUAGGAAACUUAAAUGCAUCUUGACAAUUAAAUGCCAAACCUGGAAGAAAAGACACCUGGUAACAAAAUAAAGCAUUUAUGUGAUGACACAUAACCAGCACUAACAAUUUCAGCAUGCCAUAUAUGGAUGGCUCUGACAGAACAAAGAAGCAAACGAAACACGUCACCUAUACAACGAAAGCCCAAGGACUUAGUGAAUGAAAAAGUAAUUUAAAUUAGUGAACUGUAUUUUAGCACUGAUAAUUCAAUAUACCUUAAAUACGUCAUGCUGCACUCUGCAAGCGCAGUGAAAAGACAUCCACAGUCUGAAAACAGACUCUUCAGUGCAGGUAAGCUGUUCCACUCAUGCAGAACACAUGCCAGAAAGAGAUAUGGCUUCUGUACAGCAAUUCCUGAGCUACCCGACAUAGUUCAGUGGCAGAUGAAUAAUUUGGCUCCAUCAUUACCAUAAUCUUCAUCUAACUGCCAUGAUCUUUAGUAUAUUCUGUCCCUGCUUUUGCUGGGUCGAGCUAGUGGCACUGUUUUGAACUAAGGGUACUGACUCUUGAUUGUGGUUGUGCAAAGUCACACUGGAGGCAGAAUUUUCAUCUUAACUGAACUAACAUUACAAUGUAAAAGUAUUUUUCAUCUAGAGGAAAUAAGAAACCUAAAAGCUAUAUAAGAAAACCUUGUUGUCUCAUUAGUAAUUACUCAUUACUACUUAAUGUCUUUGUGUUACUGCUUUUGUACGUUCAGUGUGUCUCAAAUACUUUAUAAAUAGUUUUCUUGUAAAAAUAAAUUAUGUUUCUGAGUAUGGAAUUAUACUGCUUGUUUGAGAGCUGGUUAUUACCUUGUAUCAAUCUACGAGCCUGUUUAACAAACUAUGUCCACAUGCAGUAAAUUUCAUCUCUAGCUUAAGGGUCUCUGGGGUUAAAUAACAUGUUUAGUCUUGCUAUGUAUUCUGCGUAAGUAAUAAUCUUUAAUUUCUGUCCUGAAUAUAGGGUUAAACAUGUGAAGUGCUUCACUAUUUUCAAGUUCAGUGCCUACAAUUUAUUCCACCAUAAACCAUCAUCUUCAGAGAAUAAGAUGGUCAACUAACUGCUUCAAGAUUCAGCUGAGCAUUGUAGCAACUGUGCAGAGUAUUACACUCAAGAAUUAUAAUGUAAUUGCAUGCUUAGGCACAUCAUUCAGUGGUUUGCCAUUUUGCCAAUUGUAGUGUUGAAUAAAACCUUCAGACCAUGUUGGUAAUCAGAAUGGAGGGAGGCCUCUUUUUCUGGAGUGGAGCAGCUGCUGGCAAUAAAGCCUAACUGCCUAUUUUUAGCUACAAGACAACAGAGAGGUUACUCCACCUAGAGAAAGACAGACAAGCUAUAACAUAAUGUUACAGGGCAUGCUGGAAGAAGUGGUUCAUACAGAAAAAAUAUCACCAUCAUUCAUCUGUUACCAUUCCUUGAUAAGUCAGGUAACUUUUUUAACUAAUAUUUUCUUUCCAGAUGUCAAAGAUAUUGGUGGGGGUGGGGUCUGAACUAAGCAGUAGUCAAAAUGCAAAAUAUAAGACUGAAAUUCAGUGUGAACUUUAGGACAAAUACCCAGUCUUGAAAGGUUGUUAUAUUGAAAGUCCCUGCCUAAUUCUUGGGGGCAUACUAUAAUGUAGAGAAAUUUCACCUAUACCCACAUAAUCCUCCAUAUUUGCUCAGUUAUGCUGAGUCCUGUUAUCCUUCCUCUGAGGGAGCAGGAUAAAGUAAAAAAAGAGGUCUGGUUCAUUUGCCUAUUUGUGUGUAUAAAUUCCGUCCCCUCAGUUUUAUUAGCAGAUCUGCUGCACUUCAGACCACAGCUGGUCAAGAAGUUCCCAAUUAACCAGGCUGUUGUUUGAAGCCAAAAUGGUGCACCAAAGAAUGUCACAGUAAAUAGACUCCGGAUGUAGCACAAGCAGAGAAUAUUUUUGUCCUUGUUUCCAGCCAGCUUCCCAGGCAGAUGCUUCAGAACCAAAGUACAGAGAUCUGCAGCUGUGGUAAAGUUUUUUUUCUGGAUCCAGAGCAUGAAGCUUCUUGCUACAAAAAUGAAGAUGCCUGUUGCAGGAAUUCAGGUACUCACUCCCCUGGAAGCUCCAACAGCCCAAGUGGAUAGGUUAUCCUGGCAUCCCUCACUAUGAAUACCCACACUACCCUCAGCUCCCAUGGAGGAACAUGUCCUAAAGUUGAUGAUGGGAUAAAAAUUGCUAAGAUGUGUGGUAGGAAGAGGGGACAAAGCAGACAUUGCUCUAAUUUGUUCCAGACAAUAUGAGCAAAACCACCUAUUCCUUCUAGAAUGAAAGAAUAGAGAAUUUCUUCCCAGUGGUAUUUUUUAGAU
rnacentral:lncRNA from 1 species